AACUAAAAAAUUAAGUUAUAUUAGUACGAUAAAAAGACAGUUAAACAAUAUUACUCAAGUCUAUUGAUUAUUUAUAAAGGGGUAUAAUUUAUAUAUAAAUACAAUAAUUUAAUAAUGACUUAGAUGUUGAAUCUGUGAAAGCUUUGAGGGAAACUGGGAUUGGAUACCCCACUAUUCUCAGCUAUAAACUGAAUAAUAUAUUUUAUCGGAGUACUAUGAAUACAAAAUUUAAAACUCAAAGGGCUUGGCGGUGUUUUAGACCACUCAGGGGAACCUGUCUCGUAAUCGACAAUCCACGCUAUACCUGACCUUUUUUUGUAAUACAGUUUGUAUACCGUCGUCGUCAGGUAACUUUAAAAAAAUUAUAAAAGUUAGCAAGAAAAUAUAUAAAUUAAAACGUCAGAUCAGGGUGCAACUUAUAAAAAGGAGAGGAUGGGUUACAAUUAUAUAUUUAUAAUUACGAAAAAUUACACUAAUGUAUAAUUAGAAGGAGGACUUGAAAGUAAAUUUUAAUAUAUAAAAAAUUUGAAUAAGGCUCUGAAACGUGC
rnacentral:rRNA from 1 species